rnacentral:rRNA from 1 species
AUGGAUAUUUAUGAUCCAAGCAAUUUCGGUAGUCUUGAUAACAAAGCGAGGGACAUAUUAGUGGAAAAGAGGCCUAAAAGGGACGAAAACACUAAAUAUCCGUUAGAUGAAACUUCACAACAUUUUUCGUAUAGCCAUUACUCAAGAAAAAUGAGCAAUGGAGAGAUGUGUGAUAGGAGAUGUAAAUGCAAGAUUGCAUUGGGGCAUUAUGAGUUUUGUGAUUGGCGGCAUAUUAGUGAGAGACUCAUCAAACAUGAAGCUAGUGUCGACCACAUUACCAACAUUAAAUCUUGGAAUGAACUGAAAAUUAGACUGACCAAACAUGAAACAAUUGACGAAGAAGUGUUACAACAACAAAUCACAAAGAUGAAGGAACUCAUAAGGCAAGUUUUAUUAAGAAUAGUUGCCAUUGUGAAAUUUCUUGGUAAAUGCAAUUUGGAUUUUAGAGGAUCAAGUGAGCAACUUUAUGAUGAUUCCAAUGGCAAUUUCUUAUCUUGUGUGGAGAUGGUUGCAGAAUUUUGAUUUGGUAAUGCAAGAUCAUCUUAUGCGUAUUCAAAAAAAGAUAUCCAUUACCAUUAUCUUAGCCAUAUUAGUAGGGAUGAGUUGAUUUCUCUUAGGGCUGCUGACGUUAGAAAUUCUAUCAUCAAGAUUGUCAAAGUGGCCAAAUAUUUCACUGUUAUCCUAGAUUGUACCCCGGAUGUGAGUCAUCAAAAACAAUAUGAGUUUGUUGGUUCGAUGUGUUCAUAUGUCUGA